UAGGAAAAGUCUGAGUUCUGACAGCAGUC
rnacentral:piRNA from 1 species